ensembl:lncRNA
AAAAGUCAAUUGCAGCUGUGCCAGAGCUGUCUUACAAAGAAGAAAUUCUUUUCCCGAGGGCUUUUGGCGCGUUGGUUGCUGUUCCCCCCCCCCACCUUUUCCCUGUGCAGGAGAACAACACAUCUCCCCACCAAGGAGCAGCUCCCUUCCCUUCAGGGACGAGGUGCACAUCUCCAUGUGUCCCAGCUCUCUCUGCCCGUGUCUCCCCAGCUGAGCUCUGCAGGCUGUACCGGACACAUCUCCGAGGUCUCGCUCCCACCAGCACACGGUGAGCACCCCGGGGUGCUGGUCCUGCCCCAUCCGGGUCCCCGCACUCCUGCAGUGAUGAUGACAC